AUUGAACGCUGGCGGCAGGCCUAACACAUGCAAGUCGAACGAGUGGCGGACGGGUGAGUAAUGUCUGGGACCCUGCCUGAUGGCGGGGGAUAACUACUGGAAACGGUACCUAAUACCGCAUAGCAUCGGCUUUGCCCAGAUGGUAUUAGCUAGUAGGUGGGGUAAAGGCUCACCAAGGCGACGAUCCCUAGCCGGUCUGAGAGGAUGACCAGCCACACUGGAACUGAGACACGGUCCAGACUCCUACGGGAGGCAGCAGUGGGGAAUAUUGCACAAUGGGCGAAAGCCUGACGCAGCCACGCCGCGUGAGUGAAGAAGGUCUUCGGAUCGUAAAGUACUUUUAGCGGGGAGGCGUUACCCACAGAGAAAGCCACGGCUAACUCCGUGCCAGCAGCCGCGGUAAUAC
rnacentral:rRNA from 1 species